UACGAAGGGGGCUAGCGUUGCUCGGAAUCACUGGGCGUAAAGGGUGCGUAGGCGGGUCUUUAAGUCAGGGGUGAAAUCCUGGAGCUCAACUCCAGAACUGCCUUUGAUACUGAAGAUCUUGAGUUCGGGAGAGGUGAGUGGAACUGCGAGUGUAGAGGUGAAAUUCGUAGAUAUUCGCAAGCACCCCAGUCGAAGGCGGCUCACUGGCCCGAUACUGACGCUGAGGCACGAAAGCGUGGGGAGCAAACAGG
rnacentral:rRNA from 1 species